rnacentral:misc_RNA from 1 species
GAACGCACCUUGCGCCCUCUGGUAUUCCGGAGGGCAUGUCUGUCUGAGUGUCAUGUAACUCUCAACCUCUCUUCCCUUGUGGUCGAGCCGGUUGGAUCGUGGGGGUUUUGCGGUCCUGGUAUCGCCCCCCUGAAAUCUAUCUGCGAAGUCGCCUCUUGUGAGUUGGCCUGACCGGGUGCGAUGGUGACGUUUUCGCCCGGGAUCCCGCCUCGUGCGAGGAGCCGCUCCUGUUGUGGGUAAUUUGGUUCGCAUACGAACGAAUAUCUUUGGUUUAGACCUCAGAUCAGGCAGGACUACCCGCUGAACUUAAG